UAAGAAUAAGGGCAAUGGGAAUAUCAAAGUCUUUCUUCUUUUCAUAAAUAAUUAUUUGAAAUUCUUUGGCACGAUGUACAUCGAAGAUAAACGUCUCAUCCCAUGUGUCUGUUUGAGAAAUCCGAGACUUAGCAACUUGUGCAUCAUCAACGUAAAGAACAGCAUAUGAAGGCAUUGUAAAUGAAUGCGUUUGAAGAAAUGAUGUAUGUUCAAUAUUUCUUAGAGAAUGAAUGGUAACCUUGAGGGUUCCAGAUAUAGGUUUGGCUAGACCUCGAAAAUUAAGACCACUAGCCUGUUGCUUUUCCUCAGAAGAAGGUGUAGAAAUAUCAAAGGGGAUAUGUAGUUCAUUAUACCGCUUCAAAGAGCGUUUUAAUAGAUUGACCUUUUGCUUACCCUCUUUCAACUUUAUAAUAACAUCAGUUUUAUCCUUCUGUUCUUUAGAGUAAAGAGACAUGAUUUUUUCAAUGCCCGAAACACAUUGCUGCUCUAUCGACAAUCUCAUUUGAAGAUGUUGUAACAUAGUCGAGAUUUUUUCAGGACUUAAUGGCUUCUCGGAGUUGAAAAGAUCAAAAGCGCUUCUGUUGUAACUUAAAAGAUGAUCAUCUGAAUUUGUGGAUUUGGCAGAGUCACUGUAUUUCUUAGAGGAAUCCUUGUCUGAUUGGGACUCUCGUUCACUUCCACUCUCAACUUUUAAAGCAUCUAUUCGUUCCCUUAAAUAUUUAAUAUUAUUUUCAGAAACAGCUAUAUUGCUUUCGAGCCGUCGUUUGACUUCUGGAUUCUUGGUCGAAGCCACCAUUGCUUUUGCUCCAAGGAUCAAAGACUCUUCCCGUUCUACUUUUUUAUAUGCAUCUUGAAGAGCAUCAUCCAACUGCACCAUUCUGCAUACACAAAUUAUCUUAACUCUACAGUAUGUUAAUGAGUAUGAGAGUUGGUAUUUGGAUUAAUUUCGAAUACGUAAACAAGGAAGACCACUGCAACACCCCAUUUUAGGAGGUUUAACAGUUGUCCGUAAACAACUUAGAGUGUCAAUACCAAAAGGAAUAGAUCGGAAACAAACAUAUGCUUAUCGCUACUGUCAGUACAAUAUAACUUAUUGUUUUAUUUAUUAAUUAAUAUGAGC